rnacentral:rRNA from 1 species
GAUGAACGCUGGCGGCGUGCCUAAUACAUGCAAGUCGAGCGAACGGACGAGAAGCUUGCUUCUCUGAUGUUAGCGGCGGACGGGUGAGUAACACGUGGAUAACCUACCUAUAAGACUGGGAUAACUUCGGGAAACCGGAGCUAAUACCGGAUAAUAUUUUGAACCGCAUGGUUCAAAAGUGAAAGACGGUCUUGCUGUCACUUAUAGAUGGAUCCGCGCUGCAUUAGCUAGUUGGUAAGGUAACGGCUUACCAAGGCAACGAUGCAUAGCCGACCUGAGAGGGUGCGCGCCCACAGGAGAAGUGGCACGCGGCCCAGACUCCUAGGGGGGGCGGGAGGAGGGUAUCUUCCGAAAGGGGCGAAGGCGUGACGGAGCAACGCCGCGGGAGUGAUAAGGGUCUCGGGAUCGAAAAACUGUUUUUUGAGGAAAAAAAAUUUGUGAAAGUAACUGUGCACUUCUGGAGGGUCCUUAAUAAAAAAGCCACGGCAAACUACGUC